UUGCUGCACAUUAUUUCACACUUGAUCAAAUUUCUCACUUUCAUGACUGAAUAAAUGGAAUUUUAACUAUCUUCAACUAGUUUGAGUGUAUCAAUUCAACAAUAUAUUCUAUGUUUACCAGAAUUGUUUGGAGAGUUGGAUAACUAAUAACAAUCCGGGCAAUAUGUCCCACCAAGAAGAAAAUAUUGAAGUUCCUGAAGGCGAAUUAUCCUCACCACCAGGGCAUGGGAAUGGAAUCUCGCAAAUAAGUAUGGAGAAUGGUAACAAAAGAUCCCUUGUGCGGACAUACUUCAAGAAGAGCUCUACAAAUUCCAGCAAAGUGACCUGUAAUGUUUGCAAAAGUGAUAUAUUUUAUGGGACCGGAAGAGAAUCUACCUAAAUUGAGUGAAGCUGCACGGCGUGUGUCACGACAACCUGAAGUUACCCACCUUGUAUCUGUUUACCCAGGAGGAAAGUAGCUUCAUAGCAAAUUAUCAGCUUUCUAGGGGAAGACGAGUUAGACAAAAACAACAAAUACGGAAUACAAAUGAAGAUCACAUCGGUGGCGAGGAACGUGGCGAGGGAUUCUUUCAAGCCUGGAUUUCCCCCCUGUUCCGAUGAUGUCAGAAUUUGAAACGUUUUACCGCAAAUGACCGGCAGCACGAACAAGGUCAUGAUGCCCGUAUAAAUCUGGAAGUUUCUAAACUGCCACGAAUUUUUACGGCAAGCCACGGCUCUCCCAUCGUUCUCCUUCCAUUUUAAAGUAUAGCAAGUGAAGCCUGAAUUCUGCUGAGCGGAGCGCACAGCACGUCGAAAAUAACGUAGCGCCACGUCGUUCCACAUAAUUUUGCGAAAUAUAUACUUGGACAGACUUCGUCUUUAAGGAAUGAGUGAAAAGACUGCGGACUUAGUUGCAGUGAGCAAUAUUUAUAUAACUACGUCGAUGUGUGUAUUUAGAUUUGGGGUAUUUUUGUACCUAUUAAUUUUAAAGAUUACCCUGGCCUCAAGAGAUAUGUAUUUGCUGGACAAU